UACGUAGGGGCCGAGCGUUGUCCGGAGUUAUUGGGCGUAAAGCGCGCGCAGGCGGCCUCGCGCGCCCGACGUGAAAGCCCCCGGCUUAACCGGGGAGGGUCGUUGGGGACGGCGGGGCUUGAGGGCGGGAGAGGUCGGUGGAAUUCCCGGUGUAGUGGUGAAAUGCGCAGAUAUCGGGAGGAACACCUAUGGCGAAGGCAGCUCGCUGGGACGUUACUGACGCUGAGACGCGAAAGCGUGGGGAGCAAACAGG
rnacentral:rRNA from 1 species